UACGGGGGGGGCAAGCGUUGUUCGGAAUUACUGGGCGUAAAGCGUGCGCAGGCGGUUUUGUAAGCCCGAUGUGAAAUCCCCGGGCUUAACCUGGGAAUGGCAUUUGGGACUGCAAGGCUGGAGUGUGGCAGAGGAGACUGGAAUUCCCGGUGUAGCAGUGAAAUGCGUAGAUAUCGGGAGGAAUACCGAUGGCGAAGGCAGGUCUCUGGGCUGACACUGACGCUCAUGCACGAAAGCGUGGGGAGCAAACAGG
rnacentral:rRNA from 1 species